rnacentral:rRNA from 1 species
ACGAACGCUUGCGGCGUGCUUAACCCAUGCCAGUCGGACGGAAAGGCCCUGCUUUUGUGGGGUUCUCGGGUGGCGAACGGGUGAGUAACACGUGAGUAACCUGCCCUUGACUUUGGGAUAACUUCCGGAAACUGGGGCUAAUACCGGAAAGGAGCUCCUGCUUCCUGGUUGGGGUUGGAAAGUUUCGGCGGUUGGGGAUGGACUCGCGGCUUAUCAGCUUGUUGGUGGGGUAGUGGCUUACCAAGGCUUUGACGGGUAGCCGGCCUGAGAGGGUGACCGGCCACAUUGGGACUGAGAUACGGCCCAGACUCCUACGGGAGGCAGCAGUGGGGAAUAUUGCACAAUGGGCGGAAGCCUGAUGCAGCAACGCCGCGUGCGGGAUGACGGCCUUCGGGUUGUAAACCGCUUUCGCCUGUGACGAAGCGUGAGUGACGGUAAUGGGUAAAGAAGCACCGGCUAACUACGUG